ACAGAGGGUGCGAGCGUUAAUCGGAAUUACUGGGCGUAAAGCGUGCGCAGGCGGUUGUGCAAGACAGAUGUGAAAUCCCCGGGCUUAACCUGGGAACUGCAUUUGUGACUGCACGGCUAGAGUGUGUCAGAGGGGGGUAGAAUUCCACGUGUAGCAGUGAAAUGCGUAGAUAUGCGGAGGAACACCGAUGGCGAAGGCGGCAUCCUGGACCGAUAUUGACGCUGA
rnacentral:rRNA from 1 species